GUACGAGAGCUUUUAGCUCUAGUGGCGGACGGGUGAGUAACACGUGAGAAUCUGCCCUUAGGAGGAGGAUAACAGCUGGAAACGGUUGCUAAUACUCCAUAUGCCGAGAGGUGAAAGGAUUUAUCCACCUAAGGAGGAGCUCGCGUCUGAUUAGCUAGUUGGUAGGGUAAAGGCCUACCAAGGCGACGAUCAGUAGCUGGUUUGAGAGGAUGAUCAGCCACACUGGGACUGAGACACGGCCCAGACUCCUACGGGAGGCAGCAGUAGGGAAUUUUCCGCAAUGGGCGAAAGCCUGACGGAGCAAUACCGCGUGAGGGAUGACGGCCUGUGGGUUGUAAACCUCUUUUCUCAAGGAAGAAGUUCUGACGGUACUUGAGGAAUAAGCAUCGGCUAACUCUGUGCCAGCAGCCGCGGUAAUACAGAGGAUGCAAGCGUUAUCCGGAAUCACUGGGCAUAAAGCGUCUGUAGGUUGUUUGGUAAGUCUGCUGUUAAAGACUGGGGCUCAACCCCAGAAAAGCAGUGGAAACUGCCGGACUUGAGUGUGGUAGAGGUA
rnacentral:rRNA from 1 species